rnacentral:rRNA from 1 species
AACCGGGAGAUAGCUGGUUCUCCCCGAAAGCUAUUUAGGUAGCGCCUCGUGAAUUCAUCUCCGGGGGUAGAGCACUGUUUCGGCUAGGGGGCCAUCCCGGCUUACCAACCCGAUGCAAACUGCGAAUACCGGAGAAUGUUAUCACGGGAGACACACGGCGGGUGCUAACGUCCGUCGUGAAGAGGGAAACAACCCAGACCGCCAGCUAAGGUCCCAAAGUCAUGGUUAAGUGGGAAACGAUGUGGGAAGGCCCAGACAGCCAGGAUGUUGGCUUAGAAGCAGCCAUCAUUUAAAGAAAGCGUAAUAGCUCACUGGUCGAGUCGGCCUGCGCGGAAGAUGUAACGGGGCUAAACCAUGCACCGAAGCUGCGGCAGCGA